CCUUCGGUCGAGUACGUCAGAGAAGGUUAGUAGUACUAUGGCUCAGGAUUAACGCUGGCGGCGUGCCUAAUACAUGCAAGUCGAAUGGUAAGCUUGCUUACCAUGGCGAACGGGUGAGUAACACGUAGAUAACCUAUCUCAAAGACGAGGAUAACCAUUGGAAACGAUGGAUAAUACUGGAUAGGACGUUAUAAGUCGCAUGACUAAACGUUUAAAGGGGCAACCCACUAUGAGAGGGGACUGCGGCGCAUUAGCUAGUUGGUGAGGUAAAGGCCCACCAAGGCGAUGAUGCGUAGCCGGACUGAGAGGUUGAACGGCCACAAUGGGACUGAGAACGGCCCAUACUCCUACGGGAGGCAGCAGUAGGGUAAUUUCGGCAAUGGACGAAAGUCUGACCGAGCAACGCCGCGUGAACGAAGGAAUAUUUCGGUAUGUAAAGUUCUUUUAUUAGAGAAGAAAAACAAAUUGACGGUAUCUAAUGAAUAAGCUCCGGCUAACUACGUGCCAGCCGCCGC
rnacentral:rRNA from 1 species